UACAGAGGUCUCAAGCGUUGUUCGGAUUCAUUGGUCGUAAAGGGUGCGUAGGCGGCGCGGUAAGUCGGGUGUGAAAUCUUGGAGCUUAACUCCGAAACUGCAUUCGAUACUGCCGUGCUUGAGGACUGGAGAGGAGACUGGAAUUUACGGUGUAGCGGUGAAAUGCGUAGAUAUCGUAAGGAAGACCAGUGGCGAAGGCGGGUCUCUGGACAGUUCCUGACGCUGAGGCACGAAGGUCAGGGGAGCAAACGGG
rnacentral:rRNA from 1 species